AGUUUGAUUCUGGCUCAGAUUGAACGCUGGCGGGAUGCUUUACACAUGCAAGUCGAACGGCAGCACGGACUUCGGUCUGGUGGCGAGUGGCGAACGAGUGAGUAAUGUAUCGGAACGUGCCUAGUAGCGGGGGAUAACUACGCGAAAGCGUAGCUAAUACCGCAUACGCCCUUCAGGGGAAAGCGGGGGACCUUCGGGCCUCGCACUAUUAGAGCAGCCGAUAUCGGAUUAGCUAGUUGGUGGGGUAACGGCUCGCAAGGCGACGAUCCGUAGCUGGUUUGAAGGACGACCAGCUACGGAUCGUCGCCUUUGGUGGGCGUUACGCCACCAACCCAGCUAUUUCGCGGCAUCGGCCUGGUGCAGGCGAAGCGUCGCCGCCUCCCCGCUCCCCGAAGGCGUAUGCGGCUGUGCGCUUUCAUGGAGCACGUUCCAGCGCCAUUCUCACCCGUUUUCCUUUCACCAUGAGCAUGCUUGCCGUUCGACUGCGCGAUAUUGGCAAAAAAAGCAUCCCGCCGGCGUCCAAUCUGAGUGUAGAAUCAAAUGCCUGCUCAAUA
rnacentral:misc_RNA from 1 species